rnacentral:rRNA from 1 species
UACGAAGGGUGCAAGCGUUACUCGGAAUUACUGGGCGUAAAGCGUGCGUAGGUGGUUCGUUAAGUCUGAUGUGAAAGCCCUGGGCUCAACCUGGGAAUGGCAUUGGAAACUGGCGACCUAGAGUGCGGUAGAGGGUAGUGGAAUUCCCGGUGUAGCAGUGAAAUGCGUAGAGAUCGGGAGGAACACCAGUGGCGAAGGCGGCUUCCUGGCCUGUUCUUGACGCUGAGGCGCGAAAGCUAGGGGAGCAAACGGG